AUCCACCUGAUGAGUCUUAAAUAGGACGAAGCGCACAUCUUGGAU
rfam:Schistosoma rodhaini strain Burundi genome assembly, scaffold: SROB_scaffold0002760